rnacentral:rRNA from 1 species
GGGUUGUGAGGUUAAGCGACUAAGCGUACACGGUGGAUGCCCUGGCAGUCAGAGGCGAUGAAGGACGUGCUAAUCUGCGAAAAGCGUCGGUAAGGUGAUAUGAACCGUUAUAGCCGGCGAUGUCCGAAUGGGGAAACCCAGUGUGAUUCGUCACACUAUCGUUAACUGAAUACAUAGGUUAACGAGGCGAACCGGGGGAACUGAAACAUCUAAGUACCCCGAGGAAAAGAAAUCAACCGAGAUUCCCCCAGUAGCGGCGAGCGAACGGGGAGCAGCCCAGAGUCUGAAUCAGCUUGUGUGUUAGUGGAACGGUCUGGAAAGUCCGACGGUACAGGGUGAUAGUCCCGUACACCAAAAUGCACAGGCUGUGAACUCGAAGAGUAGGGCGGGACACGUGGUAUCCUGUCUGAAUAUGGGGGGACCAUCCUCCAAGGCUAAAUACUCCUGACUGACCGAUAGUGAACCAGUACCGUGAGGGAAAGGCGAAAAGAACCCCGGCGAGGGGAGUGAAAAAGAACCUGAAACCGUGUACGUACAAGCAGUGGGAGCACCUUCGGGUGUGACUGCGUACCUUUUGUAUAAUGGGUCAGCGACUUAUAUUCUGUAGCAAGGUUAACCGUAUAGGGGAGCCGCAGGGAAACCGAGUCUUAACUGGGCGUUAAGUUGCAGGGUAUAGACCCGAAACCCGGUGAUCUAGCCAUGGGCAGGUUGAAGGUUGGGUAACACUAACUGGAGGACCGAACCGACUAAUGUUGAAAAAUUAGCGGAUGACUUGUGGCUGGGGGUGAAAGGCCAAUCAAACCGGGAGAUAGCUGGUUCUCCCCGAAAGCUAUUUAGGUAGCGCCUCGUGAACUCAUCUUCGGGGGUAGAGCACUGUUUCGGCUAGGGGGUCAUCCCGACUUACCAACCCGAUGCAAACUACGAAUACCGAAGAAUGUUAUCACGGGAGACACACGGCGGGUGCUAACGUCCGUCGUGAAGAGGGAAACAACCCAGACCGCCAGCUAAGGUCCCAAAGUCAUGGUUAAGUGGGAAACGAUGUGGGAAGGCACAGACAGCCAGGAUGUUGGCUUAGAAGCAGCCAUCAUUUAAAGAAAGCGUAAUAGCUCACUGGUCGAGUCGGCCUGCGCGGAAGAUGUAACGGGGCUAAACCAUGCACCGAAGCUGCGGCAGCGACACUAUGUGUUGUUGGGUAGGGGAGCGUUCUGUAAGCCUGCGAAGGUGACCUGUGAGGGUUGCUGGAGGUAUCAGAAGUGCGAAUGCUGACAUAAGUAACGAUAAAGCGGGUGAAAAGCCCGCUCGCCGGAAGACCAAGGGUUCCUGUCCAACGUUAAUCGGGGCAGGGUGAGUCGACCCCUAAGGCGAGGCCGAAAGGCGUAGUCGAUGGGAAACAGGUUAAUAUUCCUGUACUUGGUGUUACUGCGAAGGGGGGACGGAGAAGGCUAUGUUAGCCGGGCGACGGUUGUCCCGGUUUAAGCAUGUAGGCUGAUUGUCCAGGCAAAUCCGGAUAAUCAAGGCUGAGGUGUGAUGACGAGGCACUACGGUGCUGAAGUAACAAAUGCCCUGCUUCCAGGAAAAGCCUCUAAGCAUCAGGUAACAUUAAAUCGUACCCCAAACCGACACAGGUGGUCAGGUAGAGAAUACCAAGGCGCUUGAGAGAACUCGGGUGAAGGAACUAGGCAAAAUGGUGCCGUAACUUCGGGAGAAGGCACGCUGGUGUGUAGGUGAAGCCCCUGCGGGUGGAGCUGAGACCAGUCGAAGAUACCAGCUGGCUGCAACUGUUUAUUAAAAACACAGCACUGUGCAAACACGAAAGUGGACGUAUACGGUGUGACGCCUGCCCGGUGCCGGAAGGUUAAUUGAUGGGGUUAUCCGUAAGGAGAAGCUCUUGAUCGAAGCCCCGGUAAACGGCGGCCGUAACUAUAACGGUCCUAAGGUAGCGAAAUUCCUUGUCGGGUAAGUUCCGACCUGCACGAAUGGCGUAAUGAUGGCCAGGCUGUCUCCACCCGAGACUCAGUGAAAUUGAACUCGCUGUGAAGAUGCAGUGUACCCGCGGCAAGACGGAAAGACCCCGUGAACCUUUACUAUAGCUUGACACUGAACAUUGAGCCUUGAUGUGUAGGAUAGGUGGGAGGCUUUGAAGCGUGGACGCCAGUCUGCGUGGAGCCAACCUUGAAAUACCACCCUUUAAUGUUUGAUGUUCUAACGUUGGCCCCUGACCGGGGUUGCGGACAGUGUCUGGUGGGUAGUUUGACUGGGGCGGUCUCCUCCCAAAGCGUAACGGAGGAGCACGAAGGUUAGCUAAUCCUGGUCGGACAUCAGGAGGUUAGUGCAAUGGCAUAAGCUAGCUUGACUGCGAGCGUGACGGCGCGAGCAGGUGCGAAAGCAGGUCAUAGUGAUCCGGUGGUUCUGAAUGGAAGGGCCAUCGCUCAACGGAUAAAAGGUACUCCGGGGAUAACAGGCUGAUACCGCCCAAGAGUUCAUAUCGACGGCGGUGUUUGGCACCUCGAUGUCGGCUCAUCACAUCCUGGGGCUGAAGUAGGUCCCAAGGGUAUGGCUGUUCGCCAUUUAAAGUGGUACGCGAGCUGGGUUUAGAACGUCGUGAGACAGUUCGGUCCCUAUCUGCCGUGGGCGCUGGAGAAUUGAGGGGGGCUGCUCCUAGUACGAGAGGACCGGAGUGGACGCAUCACUGGUGUUCGGGUUGUCAUGCCAAUGGCACUGCCCGGUAGCUAAAUGCGGAAGAGAUAAGUGCUGAAAGCAUCUAAGCACGAAACUUGCCCCGAGAUGAGUUCUCCCUGAGACUUUAAGUCUCCUGAAGGAACGUUGAAGACGACGACGUUGAUAGGCCGGGUGUGUAAGCGCAGCGAUGCGUUGAGCUAACCGGUACUAAUGAACCGUGAGGCUUAACCUUACAACGCCGAAG